GCCGAGGUGGCGGAAUUGGCAGACGCACAUGGUUGAGGGCCAUGCGGUCGUUGGACCAUGCGGGUUCAAGUCCCGCCCUCGGCACCA
rnacentral:tRNA from 1 species